rnacentral:rRNA from 1 species
UACGUAGGGUGCGAGCGUUGUCCGGAAUUAUUGGGCGUAAAGGGCUCGUAGGCGGUUUGUCGCGUCGGGAGUGAAAUCCACUGGCUUAACUGGUGGCUUGCUUUCGAUACGGGCAGACUGGAGGUAUGCAGGGGAGAACGGAAUUCCUGGUGUAGCGGUGAAAUGCGCAGAUAGUCAGGAGGAACACCGGUGGCGAAGGCGGUUCUCUGGGCCGAUACUGACGCUGAGGAGCGAAAGCGUGGGGAGCGAACAGG